GAAUUCGCCCUUAGAGUUUGAUUCGGAUCAGGAUGAACGCUGGCGGCGUGCCUAAUACAUGCAAGUCGAACGAAUCUUCUUCGGAAGAUGAGUGGCGAACGGGUGAGUAAUACAUAGGUAACCUGCCCCUGUGCGGGGGAUAACAGGAGGAAACUCCUGCUAAUACCGCAUAGCCAUGAGCACCGCAUGGAGCUCAUGCCAAAUAUCCUUCAGGGGAUAGCGCAGGGAUGGACCUAUGGCGCAUUAGCUAGUUGGCGGGGCAACGGCCCACCAAGGCAACGAUGCGUAGCCGGCCUGAGAGGGCGGACGGCCACAUUGGGACUGAGACACGGCCCAGACUCCUACGGGAGGCAGCAGUAGGGAAUUUUCGGCAAUGGGGGAAACCCUGACCGAGCAACGCCGCGUGAGCGAAGAAGGCCUUCGGGUCGUAAAGCUCUGUUGUAAAGGAAGAACGUCGCAUGCAGGAAAUGGUGUGCGAGUGACGGUACUUUACCAGAAAGCCACGGCUAACUACGUGCCAGCAGCCGCGGUAAUACGUAGGUGGCGAGCGUUAUCCGGAAUCAUUGGGCGUAAAGAGGGAGCAGGCGGCCGCAAGGGUCUGUGGUGAAAGACCGAAGCUAAACUUCGGUAAGCCAUGGAAACCGGGCGGCUAGAGUGCGGAAGAGGAUCGUGGAAUUCCAUGUGUAGCGGUGAAAUGCGUAGAUAUAUGGAGGAACACCAGUGGCGAAGGCGACGGUCUGGGCCGCAACUGACGCUCAUUCCCGAAAGCGUGGGGAGCAAAUAGGAUUAGAUACCCUAGUAGUCCACGCCGUAAACGAUGGUCACUAAGUGUCGGGGGUCAAACCCCGGUGCUGCAGUCAACGCAAUAAGUGACCCGCCUGAGUAGUACGUCCGCAAGAAUGAAACUCAAAGGAAUU
rnacentral:rRNA from 1 species